GAAAACAAUUUUUUCUAGUUCAAUUUGUGGGAAUAAGAAAUUAUAUUUUUCAGUAUAUGUAUAUGAGCUAACCGAUCCACCACAAUCCGCAUAUUAAUGGAGUAUUAUUAAAAUUAGUGUCUGUUAAGAUGAGACACUUAUUAUGGACACUGCUCAGAUCUGUAGUAGCAGAGAUGGGACAAAAGAGGAGAGCACCGCCAUGGCUGCAUAACCAUCGGUUGCAUCUGAUUAAACAGAUGCCGUCCGGGUCGCCCCGCCAAGAUACGGGUCUACCCUUUGCCCAAUUCAGUAGCUCAGAAGAAUUCAGUAUCAUCACCGCCUAUAUAAUAUUGCUUCGGCAAGGCAUCACAGUAAGAUAGCAUAUGUGAGAGAGAGAGAGAUAGAGAUAGAUGGUAACGGUAUAGAUAGUGGGACGGAGGGAGUAAUGAUAAUAAUAGUAGUACAUGCUUCCAUUUCCUUUCAACAAGGGCGGUUGGGGUUAUUUUUCACAGAAAUCAUGGGGUUCACGGAGAAGGGCAACCACCCUUGAACAAAUUCCCAGUUUCUCGGUGUGAACCCUCAUUCUUUACUUCUGAGCCACUGCUAUCCACAAAAUGAAACAAGAAGAAGCAAGCGCAUGAGUAUGAGGAAGAGGAAGAAGCAAGCGCCGCUGUUUGUUUUAGGGUUUCCUGCUAUUUAUCUCUUUCUGUUGUUGGCUUUUUUGUUUCAUUUUUACUGGGUUUUAUGAUGUUUAUGGCCCUUUAUGUAUAUGGGCUUUUAACUAGUAUAUUUCAAUUAUCUGAUUUCUAUC